AUCUGGUGAAGAAAGAAGACUUUGUAUUAAAUUCUGACUAUCUUCAAACACUACUGGUUGUAGUUCCCAAAAUUAACCAACAUGACUGGCACCUCAAAUACGAGACUCUUACUGACAUGAUCGUGCCGAGGUCAACUAGGGUCCUGUUUGAGGAU